CUGACCCCCGAACGAACGGCGCUCCCGCUCAUUCCUGGUGAGCGAGAGCGCCGUUCGUCUCGUCGGGGUCAGG
rnacentral:tRNA from 1 species